rnacentral:rRNA from 1 species
AACUGCGAAUGGCUCAUUAAAUCAGUUAUCGUCUAUUUGAUAGUACCUUACUACUUGGAUAACCGUGGUAAUUCUAGAGCUAAUACAUGCUGAAAACCCCGACUUCGGAAGGGAUGUAUUUAUUAGAUUAAAAACCAAUGCCCUUCUGGGCUCCCUGGUGAUUCAUGAUAACUUCUCGAAUCGCACGGCCUUGCGCCGGCGAUGGUUCAUUCAAAUUUCUGCCCUAUCAACUUUCGACGGCUGGGUCUUGGCCAGCCAUGGUGACAACGGGUAACGGAGGGUUAGGGCUCGACCCCGGAGAAGGAGCCUGAGAAACGGCUACUACAUCCAAGGAAGGCAGCAGGCGCGCAAAUUACCCAAUCCCGACACGGGGAGGUAGUGACAAUAAAUACUGAUACAGGGCUCUUUUGGGUCUUGUAAUUGGAAUGAGUACAAUUUAAUUCCCUUAACGAGGAACAAUUGGAGGGCAAGUCUGGUGCCAGCAGCCGCGGUAAUUCCAGCUCCAAUAGCGUAUAUUAAAGUUGUUGCAGUUAAAAAGCUCGUAGUUGAACCUUGGGCCUGGCUGGCCGGUCCGCCUCACCGCGUGCACUGGUCCGGCCGGGCCUUUCCCUCUGGGGAGCCGCAUGCCCUUCACUGGGCGUGCCGGGGAACCAGGACGUUUACUUUGAAAAAAUUAGAGUGUUCAAAGCAGGCUUAUGCUCGGAUACAUUAGCAUGGAAUAAUAGAAUAGGACGUGCGGUUCUAUUUUGUUGGUUUCUAGGACCGCCGUAAUGAUUAAUAGGGACAGUCGGGGGCAUCAGUAUUCAGUUGUCAGAGGUGAAAUUCUUGGAUUUACUGAAGACUAACUACUGCGAAAGCAUUUGCCCAAGGAUGUUUUUCAUUAAUCAGGAACGAAAGUUAGGGGAUCGAAGACGAUCAGAUACCGUCGUAGUCUUAACCAUAAACUAUGCCGACUAGGGAUCGGACGGUGUUAUUUUUUGACCCGUUCGGCACCUUACACGCAAAGUAC